rnacentral:rRNA from 1 species
AUGGCGUCGGAGUGCGACCAGCACGAGCACCUGCGCCCCGAGGGCACGGAGCUGCUGGCGCGCAUAGCCGUGGACUACACACCGGACGCCUGCCGCCACGCGCCGGCGUCCGGCGAGAUCCACGUCACCUACGACCACCGCGGCGGGGCGCGGUGGCGGUCCCGCGGCCGCUUCCUGCCGGGCUGCGCCGUGGCCGCCGCGGUCCGCGCCCCCGCCGGCGACACCGCGGGGCUCAACUACAACCUCUACCUGUCGUCGCUGGAGGGCUCCAGCGACAUGGACGAGAUCGACUUCGAGUUCCUCGGCAACGACAAGCGCGCCGUGCAGACCAACUUGUUCGUCGCCGGGAGCGGCGGCAGGGAGAUGGUCCACCAACUCCCCUUUGACACCUCCGACGGGUUCCACCACUACGCCGUCGCCUGGAGCGCCGAGGCCGUGGAGUGGCGCGUCGACGGGGAGGUGAUCCGGCGGGAGGAGCGGCGCGACGGGGAGCCCUGGCCGGAGAAGCCCAUGUACCUGUACGCCUCCUUGUGGGACGCGAGCGACGUCGACGAGGGGAAGUGGACCGGCACGUACCACGGCCGCGACGCGCCCUACGUCUGCAGCUACAGAGACGUCAGGGUGCCCGUUGUCGCGCUAUCAGCGGGAGAGGGAGAAGAAUGCCAGGAUGAUGCGAACGCCGGAGAUGAGGCUGGUGCUGCGGAGGAGGAGGUUGACGCCGAAGCUGGUAAAAAUUAG